rnacentral:rRNA from 1 species
GACGAACGCUGGCGGCGUGCCUAAUACAUGCAAGUCGAACGCAGUGGGGAUGAGUGAGUAACACGUGGGUAACCUCCCAUCAGAGGGGAUAACACUUGGAAACAGGUGCUAAACUGGUAUGGAUGGAGGGACCCGGGGUGGAUUAGGUAGUUGGAGGGGUAAAGGCUCACCAAGGCCACGAUGCAUAGCCGGCCUGAGAGGGUGACCGGCCACACUGGGACUGAGACACGGCCCAGACUCCUACGGGAGGCAGCAGUAGGGAAUCUUCGGCAAUGGGGGAAAGCCUGACCGAGCAACGCCGCGUGAGUGAAGAAGGUUUUCGGAUUGUAAAACUCUUUUGUUAGAGAAGCGGUAUCUAACCAGAAAGCCACGGCUAACUACGUGCCAGCAGCCGCGGUAAUUC